rnacentral:tRNA from 1 species
GUAGACGCUACGGACUUAAAAAAUCCGUCGACUUUAAAAAUCGUGAGGGUUCAAGUCCCUCUAUCCCCA